UACGAGGGGGGCGAGCGUUGUUCGGAAUUAUUGGGCGUAAAGGGUGCGUAGGCGGUUUGGUAAGUCUGAUGUGAAAUCUAUGGGCUCAACUCAUAGUCUGCAUCGGAAACUGCCGGGCUUGAGUGUGGGAGAGGUGAGUGGAAUUCCUGGUGUAGCGGUGAAAAUGCGUAGAUAUCAGGAGGAACACCUGUGGCGAAAAGCGGCUCACUGGACCAUAACUGACGCUGAUGCACGAAAGCUAGGGGGAGCAAAACAGG
rnacentral:rRNA from 1 species